rnacentral:rRNA from 1 species
AUGAUGAAAGAUAAAUAUGAGGUGGAGCUGAAGACGAAAGAAAACCAAGUCAUCGAUCUUCAAGAAAACCUGAAAACCCAACAGGCUGAAACCUCCAAAGCAAAAGAGGAAUUGGCCAGUGCUUUAAGCGCCAUGGAACAACUUAAGGAGAACUUCAAAAAGAAAUGGGCGGAUUGGGCCACUAAAAAGUCCGCUUUGAUCAAACGAGCAGAGGAUGCCGAGGCUGCACUAAAACCAGUGACGGAUGAACUGACCAGCAUAAAGCGGCACGUUCAUGCCAUGACCACUGCUAUCUUUGGGACACACAUUGGUCACUUGGGGUCAGAUGUGCGGAAGAAAUUGAAAGCCGCCUAUACAUUGGUUGAACAAUUGUAUACUGGUGCCCAGCGGAUCAUCUGUACCACGUCUCAUAACAAACCGGCGCCCACUUUGAUUCAAGAUACUCUGAUGAAACUGUCAGUGCUUCCUGCCCGGGUUGAAGAGCUGAAGAAAUCUGCUGCUCGAACCGGUGCAAUCAAUGCCUUAAUCCUGGCAAAAGCCUGGGUGCCGGAUUUUGAUCCUAUUGAAGCGGUUCAGGGCUAUCCCAGCUUGAAGGAAGACGGGUCAGAAUUUGGUGAAGCGGAUCUGCGAGCAAUAAACCGGGAGGUACGUCCACUAGCUUGUCAGUUGGCUGAGGAAGCAGACUUGUCUCAUUAUCAAGCACAAUAUGAUAGCCAGAACAAGCGAAUAGCUGCACCAAUCCAUGAAUCGGAAAAUCUGAUCCCUCCAAUCCGUAAGCAUACUUACGCUCCCGAUAUUGACCCGUCAUUGCUUAUCCAUGAUGAAGCUGUUUUUCAAGCAUUAAUGGGAAUCGACUGGACAACCGUGGAUUUCCAUCCACUGGGUAGAGAAACGGAAGCCGAAGCGGCGCAGGCUGACCCACAACCAUCAGGCCAGGCCGGUGGCGAAGCUUGA